rnacentral:rRNA from 1 species
GCAAGUCGUACGUGAAAGCUUCCUUCGGGAAGUGAUUAAAGUGGCGCACGGGUGAGUAACACGUGGAUAAUCUACCCGACAGACAGGGAUAACAUUUCGAAAGGAAUGCUAAUACCUGAUAAGCCUACGCCCUCCUCGGAGGAAGUAGGAAAAGGUGGGGACCUUCGGGCCUGCCGUUAUCGGAUGAGUCCGCGUCCCAUUAGCUAGUUGGUAGGGUAAUGGCCUACCAAGCCUACGAUCUAUAGCUGGUUUGAGAGGAUGAUC